rnacentral:lncRNA from 1 species
CAUGAGAAGGAGAUGAUAGCUAAAUAGCUUAGGUGGUCAGGUUUGCUGCAAGAAGAUAGAUGAUUCCACGAAGAACCAGAUGGUUGUGCUUCCACACGGUCGAUAUAGUUAAUAAACUGCUAGCUUCAGUAAUGGACAAAUUCAUAAUCUAUCAUUCAUAAAAGAGACAUGGUCUGAUAGUAAAUUUUAUUUUCAGAGGUUAGUUGCCUGCGUUGAGGAAAUAACUUCUGAAUUCUGAUAAUCUUUAGCUGAUAUGAUGUCCAAAAUAAUAUUUUUUAUAAUAUCAAAAAUAACUGAUAUGGUGUAUACAUCAGUUCCAUGUAAAUAAGACUCAAUUAAGAGAGACUAAGUAUUAAUAUCAUUUUUUUAGAAAAUUUACAUUUAUAGUUUUUUUUAAAAAAUGAGAUGUCCAAGUAGGCAAGUACUCUCAUGAGUCUACAUGUGUGUGUAAACUGUUCUGAUAAAUUUAGAGACUGGUAAUGGCAGCGUAAUGAGAUUAUCUAAAAUCUCAGCUCUACUCUGUUCCUGAAUUAUCUACUGUCUUUUUUCUUCAAGUUUGUGUAAGCUUUUCACAUAGAGAAGAAGAAAAGCAUUGCUCAAUCUAUCUUCAAGUUUGUGUAAGCUUUUCACAUAGAGAAGAAGAAAAGCAUUGCUCAAUCUAAAAGAAUGUUGGGCUUUCAUGGUUGGGUUCAUUGCCGUCUGAGUUAGCUGAGCUAACCUCUAUUAAAUCUAUGGCUUGUAUUUCAGUUCUUCAGGAUUGUUUUGGCUUGAGAAUUUAGACUCAGUUGCCACGUUCAGUUUAGUGCAAUAUUGCAGAGUAUGGUUCUGAUUCAUCAUUUGCUAUGUCAGUACACAUAUAUAGAUAAUAAUCUUUGGAAGUGCAUCUGAAACUAUCUUUAUAGUCUGCAACGGCUACAUGAAUGAAGACAAUGUGAAUACUGCUUGUUCUAUGAUGUGAAAGGAAAUAGAACUAAAGAGGGGAGAUUGUUACCAUGAUAUGUGACACUGUAAAAACUCCAAUCAUACCAUCGUUGUCUGGAGGUAGCUCCAAUCCUGAAUCUUCUCCAAAAAACAAAACCUGAAAUACCAGGUUUGGGUCGAGCGCCAGGUCAAAAAUCAUGGCCCAAACAAGCAGUACACACUACACAAAAAAUCAAUACAAAAAGAUUGACAACUCAAAUGGUCGUAGAAAAGGUGCACGAAAAUCUCUAUAGCCCAGUCAAAUAAGUAAUAAAAAAAGGUCCGAAAUGAGCCGUAGGAGGGCUUGCCUCCAGUUUAUUAAUACCUGGCCUUCUCUUUCUGCAAGUAAAUAUUGUCACUGCCCAACAACUAACGCUUUGUCCAAGAUUAACAUAUUUGUGUGUUCACUAAAACAAGUAAGUCUAAAUUUAUAGAUGCAAAACAAUGGAGUAGUAGAUGCAACUUUGCAGAUACAGAACGUGCAUAGAUGACCAAUAUCAGUAUCAAGUAUCAACACAUCACUAAUAGCAGUGUGGACUAGUUCAUGCUUGUUAUUUAGUAAGCAAGAAAGAGGGCUUGGACUUCCAUGGUAAUCAAGAGUUCUAUGGCAGUAAGGAAGAAUAGGGAAAUAUAUAUAGUUAGUAUAUAGAUGGAGGAUUUGUACGUUGCAGCAAGUAAAUUGGCAAGGAGAUUCGAGAUCCCUGACUGGUAACUCAUUUUACAUCAUUGAGCCAGUCAGCAUGGCAGUACGAUGCAAGUAGGAACAUGCCAGUAGUGCAACCCAUGAGAAGGAGAUGAUAGCUAAAUAGCUUAGGUGGUCAGGUUAGCUGCAAGAAGGUAGAUGACUCCAGAGGGCACAGAUUAACUGAAUGACAGUAUACUGAAAUUAGCAUAUAGAAUUUUGAGGUGGUUGCAGAGAGAUUGUGAUUCAGAGAUGAAAGGCACAAAGGCAGUUGUAGUGUUUUGGCAUCCUGGUUUGUGUUCACAGUGCAUGCAUUUUUAGUUGUUCUACUCAAAGAACUCUUGAACAUACUUGUCGACAGGCAUGAUCUGAUGAUGCCCAACUUGUG